GCUUCAAUCAUUUCGACAUCAAACAACACUUCGCAACCUUUUCAACAUCAGUAUUUCUCUUUUCAGUCUCCACAACAACAACACAAAAUUUGAACUUCCAUGACUCAACCAUGACAGAGAGUAGUUCAUCAGGCUCAGGCAAACCACAGUUGUAGCCACAGCUGCCCUGGGGCAGGCUGACAGAAGCAAAGCUGACACAUCGCGCCAUCGUCCCCUCUGGCCAACACCAGUACGCGGUAGGGUAAAGUGUCUUGCCCAAGGACACAACAAUCAGGACAGAGAGAGCUGUGGAUCGAACCAGCAACCUUCCGGUUACAGAUGAGCUUCCCAACCCCCUGAACCAGCACUGCACGAUGGAAACACUGGUCAAGUCAAUAGAGGAAUUCCCACCUACAGAAGAAUGGAAGGAGAAAACAUCAGAGUUGAAUGCAAAUUUUCU